rnacentral:rRNA from 1 species
GCAGUCGAGCGGACUUUGCCUUCGGGUAAGUUAGCGGCGGACGGGUGAGUAACACGUGGGUAACCUGCCCAUAAGACUGGGAUAACAUUCGGAAACGAAUGCUAAUACCGGAUACGCGAAGCGGUCGCAUGAUCGAAUCGGGAAAGGCGGAGCAAUCUGCCACUUAUGGAUGGACCCGCGGCGCAUUAGCUAGUUGGUGGGGUAACGGCUCACCAAGGCGACGAUGCGUAGCCGACCUGAGAGGGUGAUCGGCCACACUGGGACUGAGACACGGCCCAGACUCCUACGGGAGGCAGCAGUAGGGAAUCUUCCGCAAUGGACGAAAGUCUGACGGAGCAACGCCGCGUGAGUGAUGAAGGUUUUCGGA